rnacentral:rRNA from 1 species
CCCUUAGAUGUUCUGGGCCGCACGCGCGCUACACUGAUGCAUUCAACGAGUCUAAAACCUGCUCUGAUAGGGGUGGGUAAUCUUUUGAAUGUGCAUCGUGAUUGGGAUAGAUGAUUGCAAUUUUUCAUCUUCAACGAGGAAUGCCUAGUAAACGCAAGUCAUCAGCUUGCAUUGAUUACGUCCCUGCCCUUUGUACACACCGCCCGUCGCUCCUACCGAUUGAAUGAUCCGACGAAUAUCAUGGAUUGAGGAUGCAAGCAGGUUCGCCUGUCUUCAUCUUCGAGAAGUGAAGUAAAUCUUAUCAUUUAGAGGAAGGAGAAGUCGUAACA